UCUGGAAGAAUCUGGAGACAGGUGCUGCAUGGCUGUCGUCAGCUCGUGUCGUGAGAUGUUGGGUUAAGUCCCGCAACGAGCGCAACCCUUGCCUUUAGUUGCCAGCAGUUCGGCUGGGCACUCUAAAGGGACUGCCGGUGUUAAACCGGAGGAAGGUGGGGAGUGACGUCAAGUCCUCAUGGCCUUUAUGACCAGGGCUACACACGUACUACAAUGGCCGAUACAAAGGGCAGCGACACUGCGAGGUGAAGCCAAUCCCGUAAAAUCGGUCUCAGUCCGGAUUGGAGUCUGCAACUCGACUCCAUGAAGUUGGAAUCGCUAGUAAUCGUGGAUCAGCAUGCCACGGUGAAUACGUUCCCGGGCCUU
rnacentral:rRNA from 1 species